rnacentral:lncRNA from 1 species
GUUGCUUCUGAACAACCUUCUGAACUAGGUUGCUUCUGAACAACCUUCUGAACUGUGUUGCUUCUGAACUACCUUCUGAACUAAGUUGCUUCUGAACAAUCUUCUGAACUGUGUUGCUUCUGAACGACCUUCUGAACUAGGUUGCUUCUGAACAACCUUCUGAACUGGGUUGCUUCUGAACAGAGUUGCUUCUGAACAACCUUCUGAGCUCUCAUCAGAACGUUCUGAUCAAACUCUCUGAUCAACAUUCUGAACUAACUUUCUGAACUUCAGAAUUAGUUCAUGGAUUCAAUGUCCUUUGAUUUUAUGCAUCUUG